UGGGGGAUUUUGCACAAUGGGUGCAAGCCUGAUGCAGCGACGCCGCGUGAGGGAUGAAGGCCUUCGGGUUGUAAACCUCUUUCGCUGGGUUGAAAGGCCAUGCUUUGGGUGUGGUUGAUUUGAACUGGUAAAGAAGUACCGGCUAACUACGUGCCAGCAGCCGCGGUAAUACGUAGGGUACUAGCGUUGUCCGGAUUUAUUGGGCGUAAAGGGCUUGUAGGUGGUUUGUCGCGUCUGUCGUGAAAUCCUGUGGCUUAACCAUGGGCUUGCGGUGGGUACGGGCAGGCUUGAGUGCGGUAGGGGAGACUGGAAUUCCUGGUGUAGCGGUGGAAUGCGCAGAUAUCAGGAGGAACACCGGUGGCGAAGGCGGGUCUCUGGGCCGUUACUGACACUGAGGAGCGAAAGCGUGGGGAGCGAACAGG
rnacentral:rRNA from 1 species